rnacentral:tRNA from 1 species
GGGUGGUUAGCUCAGUUGGUUAGAGUACUUGCUUGACAUGCAAGAGGCCAUAGGUUCAAAUCCUAUACCACCCA